rnacentral:rRNA from 1 species
UACGUAGGGGGCAAGCGUUGUCCGGAAUCAUUGGGCGUAAAGCGCGUGUAGGCGGUCAAUUAAGUCGGGUGUGAAAUCCCUCGGCUCAACCGGGGAAGUGCAUUCGAAACUAAUUGGCUGGAGAGUGGUAGAGGAAGGUGGAAUUCCAAGUGUAGAGGUGAAAUUCGUAGAUAUUUGGAGGAAUACCGGCGGCGAAGGCGGCCUUCUGGACCAUUUCUGACGCUGAGACGCGAAAGCGUGGGGAGCAAACAGG